rnacentral:rRNA from 1 species
UACGUAGGGGGCAAGCGUUGUCCGGAUUUAUUGGGCGUAAAGAGCGUGUAGGCGGCCAGACAGGUCUGCUGUGAAAACUCGAGGCUCAACCUCGAGACGCCGGUGGAAACCGUCUGGCUAGAGUCCGGAAGAGGAGAGUGGAAUUCCUGGUGUAGCGGUGAAAUGCGCAGAUAUCAGGAAGAACACCCGUGGCUAAGGCGGCUCUCUAGUACGGUACUGACGCUGAGACGCGAAAGCGUGGGAGCGAACAGG